GUGAAGGCAGCUACAGUUGGACGGCUACUUUCAGAAAAACAUUCCUUCAUUUUCCGUGCACCGCUCCUCUACCCAAUACGUCUGUGAAGAGAAAAACAAGAUGAGACCACUCUUCAGAAACAUGAGAAUGCUGUCUUUUCUUGUUAUGCUGUCUUUCAGCUCGGCUUUUCUCACAACUGAGAUUGUCAGAGGGAUCGUAAAGGAUCUCAGACAGUUAUCUCCAGAGCUUCUAUCAUCUCUACAUUCAACACACUCUGUCAUGUUGACAUGUGAUUGUGAUCUGCUGGCGAUGACACAUCUGAAACUAAUUCUGGACCAGGUGAAUCCAAAGACUGUUUCUACCAGUGACAAACAACUUCUGGGCAGAAUUAUACUUCGUUUAGAUGCAAUACAUUCCAAAAAGGAGGGGGAGAAGAACUGCUUGAGGAAAGCCUACCGGCGUUUACGGAAAAGAACAACUGUGGUUCCUUACUUUGAAAAUCUUCAGCACUGGUUAAGGACAUGCAAAAAGCCUAUUUCUAUACAUGCUGAUGAUUAAACCCCUACUUCUAUACAUGCUGAUGACAAAACCCCUAUUUCUAUACAUGCUGA
rnacentral:lncRNA from 1 species